rnacentral:rRNA from 1 species
CAUAGCGACUAUCGUGGCAUAUCAAUAAGCGGAGGAAAAGAAACUAACUAGGAUUCCCUUAGUAACGGCGAGUGAAGCGGGAAGAGCUCAAAUUUGAAAUCUUCAAGGUUCUACCUUGACGAAUUGUAGUUUAAAGAAGUGUUUUCUGUAGUGGAGUUUGGUAAAAGUUCUUUGGAAUAGGACAUCAUAGAGGGUGAGAAUCCCGUAUUUGACCAUUUACUUCCAGCUGUGUGAUACACUUUCAAAGAGUCGGAUUGUUUGGGAAUGCAGUCCAAAAUGGGUGGUAAAUUUCAUCUAAAGCUAAAUAUUGGCGAGAGACCGAUAGCGAACAAGUACCGUGAGGGAAAGAUGAAAAGAACUUUGAAAAGAGAGUUAAACAGUACGUGAAAUUGUCAAAAGGGAAGCGUUUGACACCAGUGUUGUUUUCUCGAAAAUCAAUUAAAAAUGGCCGGAUGUUAAGUGUUGUAAUUGACUUUAUCAGCUUUCUGCACUUUUUUCUUGUCUUUUUUAAUGCACUUUUCGUUUAACAAGUCAACAUCAAUUUCUUUUGUUGUAAAAGAGUCAUUGGAAGGUGGCUUUCAUUUCGGUGAAAGUGUUUAUAGCCUUUGACUUCUGCAAUCGGAGAGAUUGAGGUCUGCAGCGUAGAUCCUUCGGGGUUAGAUACAUUUGUGCUAAGCUAUAGUUCUUUAUAGACAACUUGUUGACAAUAAUCAAUCCUGUAACUUACUCGCUUAUGCUAUUUUACCUACGCUUAGGAUGUUGAAGAUAUGCGCGACACG